rnacentral:rRNA from 1 species
CUGAAUACAUAGGGUAAGGAAGACAGACCCAGGGAACUGAAACAUCUAAGUACCUGGAGGAAGAGAAAGCAAAUGCGAUUUCCUGAGUAGCGGCGAGCGAAACGGAACAUAGCCCAAACCAAGAGGCUUGCCUCUUGGGGUUGUAGGACAUUCUAUACGGAGUUACAAAGGAACGAGGUAGACGAAGCGACCUGGAAAGGUCCGUCGUAGAGGGUAACAACCCCGUAGUCGAAACUUCGUUCUCUCUUGAAUGUAUCCUGAGUACGGCGGAACACGUGAAAUUCCGUCGGAAUCUGGGAGGACCAUCUCCCAAGGCUAAAUACUCCCUAGUGAUCGAUAGUGAACCAGUACCGUGAGGGAAAGGUGAAAAGCACCCCGGAAGGGGAGUGAAAGAGAUCCUGAAACCGUGUGCCUACAAAUAGUCAGAGCCCGUUAAUGGGUGAUGGCGUGCCUUUUGUAGAAUGAACCGGCGAGUUACGAUCCCGUGCGAGGUUAAGCUGAAGAGGCGGAGCCGCAGCGAAAGCGAGUCUGAAUAGGGCGUUUAGUACGUGGUCGUAGACCCGAAACCAGGUGAUCUACCCAUGUCCAGGGUGAAGUUCAGGUAACACUGAAUGGAGGCCCGAACCCACGCACGUUGAAAAGUGCGGGGAUGAGGUGUGGGUAGCGGAGAAAUUCCAAUCGAACCUGGAGAUAGCUGGUUCUCCCCGAAAUAGCUUUAGGGCUAGCCUUAAGUGUAAGAGUCUUGGAGGUAGAGCACUGAUUGGACUAGGGGUCCUCAUCGGAUUACCGAAUUCAGUCAAACUCCGAAUGCCAAUGACUUAUCCUUAGGAGUCAGACUGCGAGUGAUAAGAUCCGUAGUCAAAAGGGAAACAGCCCAGACCGCCAGCUAAGGUCCCAAAGUGUGUAUUAAGUGGAAAAGGAUGUGGAGUUGCUUAGACAACUAGGAUGUUGGCUUAGAAGCAGCCACCAUUUAAAGAGUGCGUAAUAGCUCACUAGUCGAGUGACUCUGCGCCGAAAAUGUACCGGGGCUAAAUACACCACCGAAGCUGCGGAUUGAUACCGAAUGGUAUCAGUGGUAGGGGAGCGUUCUAAGGACAGUGAAGUCAGACCGUAAGGACUGGUGGAGUGCUUAGAAGUGAGAAUGCCGGUAUGAGUAGCGAAAGACGGGUGAGAAUCCCGUCCACCGAAUGCCUAAGGUUUCCUGAGGAAGGCUCGUCCGCUCAGGGUUAGUCAGGACCUAAGCCGAGGCCGACAGGCGUAGGCGAUGGACAACAGGUUGAUAUUCCUGUACCACCUCUUUAUCGUUUGAGCAAUGGAGGGACGCAGAAGGAUAGAAGAAGCGUGCGAUUGGUUGUGCACGUCCAAGCAGUUAGGCUGAUAAGUAGGCAAAUCCGCUUAUC